rnacentral:rRNA from 1 species
UACGGAGGGUGCGAGCGUUGUCCGGAAUCACUGGGCGUAAAGCGCGCGUAGGCGGCUUUGUAAGUUAGAGGUGAAAGCCCGGAGCUCAACUCCGGAACUGCCUUUAAGACUGCAUCGCUAGAACGAUGGAGAGGUAAGUGGAAUUCCGAGUGUAGAGGUGAAAUUCGUAGAUAUUCGGAAGAACACCAGUGGCGAAGGCGACUUACUGGACAUCUGUUGACGCUGAGGUGCGAAAGCGUGGGGAGCAAACAGG